UGAUGUCCUGAGCCCUGUUUCAGGUAGCUGGUUUUGAGGCAACCCCGAGUUUGUUCGCUCUGAGUUAGUGGAAACUAACUCAGUUUUCCGUUUCAGGUAGCAGGUUCAGCGCAACCGAGAGUUAGUUGCUGCGGCAACAUACGCCGUGGGUCUAACCUGCUCGGGAGGUGGUUAGACCUACUCUGAGUUUGUUGUCUAUAAGGCUGAAGGCAGCUCUCCGACAGAAGGAAGUGUUAGAAAUGGCAUGUCCUUUUCUACGAGAGCCUGUGGACGUAGAGGCUGCGAUCCUCAGAAGGAAUCUCCGUGAGGAACGAUUAUUAAGACCCCGGUUGGAUAUAAUUUAUUUUCCUGAUAAUUUUCUUCCCGAGUGCUAUCGUUUUUCAGCGCAAUCUAUCAUUUAUUUAGACCACCUUCUCAGCCCCCAUGUUAACUGUCAAACGCACCGGGGGCAUGCUUUAAGUUUAAGUUUUUUUUUUUUAUCGCAGUUAAUGUGCAGAAUGAUCCGCCCCGUGCAUCCCACCCGCUCUGUACUACAGUCACUUCAACCGGAUCUUCCAUUAGGCAAACCUAGGCAAGUGCCUAGGGCCCCAACCAAAUCUGUCUUUAUUAGGGGCCCCCAAAUCUGACCCCCCCAGCCAUUACUUAUGUAAAGUAAAAAAAACAAACACAUUUCUAGUAGAAGAAAUUAACAAAAAUAUCAACAUAACGCCGAACUAAUGCCUAAAUAAUAAUUUUCCAGCACACAUGCCCCCCUCCAUUGUGCAUUGGACUAGUCCAGAAUAUGAUUACGUAGUAACGCGCGCAGCGCGAAAUAACGUACUUCAAACCAAAGCAGAGGGAUGCGACUCGGUGAAAAUGAAGCGGCGGAAUUAUGAUAGUGGUUGUGCUAAAUGAAAACAAAAAGCUGAGAAGAAAAGAAUUGCAGAUACACUGCCGAAAUUGACUUCAUUUUUUACACCUGCUGCUGCCACAGCAGCCGCUGCUGAACUUGCGACAGGCUCUGCUGUUGGGGUUCUAUACUGCUGCUCACCACUUUUCUCUGAUAUGAAGACUUUUGAGAAGACGACAACAGUAGGACUUUGUGUUUACAAAUGCUUUCUGUCUCACACACACACACACACACACACACACACACACACACACACACACACACACACACACACACACACACACACACACACACACACACACACACACACAGAGCUUUGCCAUUCACUCAGUCACUCACAUACUCUCACACACACACGCACACACACACACACACACACACUGUUUUACUCACAUGAAAUGGUGAAGGCAACAGGGAAAAUGGACAUUUGAAGAUGGAGAACUUAACCACUUGCACACCUAAACACCUCCCCCCCCCCCCCUCUCUCUCUCUCUCUCUCUCUCUCUCUCUCUCUCUCUCUCUCUCUCUCUCUCUCUCUCUCUCUCUCUCUCUCUCUCUCUCUCUCCUGUCACUCACUCACUCACUCACUCACUCACUCACUCACUCACUCACUCACUCACUCACUCACUCACACUGAACCACUGCUUUGCCUGUCUCUCACUCACACACACAGCCACUGUUAUUCCUGUCCACACACAAAAUCUUUUCAUUGGUCCUGUUUAAAUGUAAAUGGUGGUUUUCAUCGACUCAUAUCCAUUUUGUAUUUUAGUUCUGUUAAGUGCAAGAUCAUUUUGUAUCUCUGGCAGAGAAUGGAAAUUCUAAUCUCUCUCUCUCUCUCUCUCGUUUGAGUAAUAAACAUGUAAUUUUGGCAAAGGCUGGAGAAAUCUGAAACUGAUUUUACUGUGGAGAGUUGAGUGGCAGUGCACUAUGGGUUUAUUGCGAUUCUAAGAGUAUUGGGAUGGUUAUUUGUUUU